GGCCGCGGUGACCACUCUGGCAACGCCUGGUCUCAUCUGAUCUCGGAAGCUAAGCAGGGUCGGGCCUGGUUAGUACCUGGAUGGGAGACCUCCUGGGAAUACCAGGUGCUGUAGGCU
rnacentral:rRNA from 1 species